rnacentral:lncRNA from 1 species
GGGCGUCAGAGCCUCGGGCCCCGGUCUACGGCUCCGUCCCUAGUGCUCCGGCCUCUGGGAGCCCUAGUCGCUGCGUCCUGAGACCCCAGGUGUAGACACGUGUGACAGUCCACGCAGUAGGACCCCUAUUUCUACCGGCUUUGGACUUCCUCCUGUCGCACAAUGCCGCCGCCUUCGGACAUCGUGAAGGUGGCCAUAGAAUGGCCUGGCGCCUACCCUAAACUCAUGGAGAUUGACCAGAAAAAACCACUGUCUGCCAUAAUAAAGGAAGUCUGCGAUGGGUGGUCUCUUGCCAACCAUGAAUAUUUUGCUCUGCAGCAUGCUGAUAGUUCAAACUUCUACAUCACAGAAAAGAAUCGCAACGAAAUAAAAAAUGGCACUAUUCUUCGAUUAACCACGUCCCCAGCUCAAAAUGCCCAGCAGCUCCAUGAACGAAUACAGUCAUCAAGUAUGGACGCCAAGUUGGAAGCCCUGAAGGA